GAUGAACGCUAGCGGCAGGCCUAACACAUGCAAGUCGAGGGGCAGCGCAUUGACAGUUUACUGUCAUGGCGGCGACCGGCGCACGGGUGAGUAACGCGUAUGCAACCUACCCUGUUCUGGGGGGAUAGCCCGGAGAAAUCCGGAUUAACACCCCAUGGUAAUGAAGUAUCGCAUGAUGCAUUAUUUAAAAGGUUACGGAA
rnacentral:rRNA from 1 species